rnacentral:rRNA from 1 species
AUGAACGCUAGCGACAGGCCUAACACACGCAAGUCGAGGGGCAGCACAAGGAGCAAUCUGAGGUGGCGACCGGCGCACGGGUGAGUAACACGUAUGCAACCUGCCUGUAAGCGGGGAAUAACCCGUUGAAAGACGGACUAAUACCGCAUAAUACUAAAUUACUGCAUGGUAAUUUAUUUAAACAUUUAUGGCUUACAGAUGGGCAUGCGCAUGAUUAGCUAGUUGGAGAGGUAACGGCUCCCCAAGGCAACGAUCAUUAGGGGUUCUGAGAGGAAGGUCCCCCACACUGGUACUGAGACACGGACCAGACUCCUACGGGAGGCAGCAGUGAGGAAUAUUGGUCAAUGGACGAGAGUCUGAACCAGCCAAGUCGCGUGCAGGAAGAAUGUCCUAAUGGAUUGUAAACUGCUUUUGCAGGGGAAUAAAGUGCAUCACGUGUGAUGUUUUGUAUGUACUCUGCGAAUAAGGAUCGGCUAACUCCGUGCCAGCCGCUGC